rnacentral:rRNA from 1 species
AACGUAGGACGCGAGCGUCAUCCGGAUUUACUGGGCGUAAAGCGCGGGCAGGCGGUGGUCCAAGUCGGACGUGAAAGCUCCCGGCUCAACUGGGAGAGGUCGUUCGAUACUGGGUCGCUAGAGUUCGGUAGAGGGAAGUGGAAUUUCCGGUGUAGCGGUGAAAUGCGUAGAUAUCGGAAGGAACACCAGUGGCGAAAGCGGCUUCCUGGUCCAGCACUGACGCUCAGGCACGAAAGCGUGGGGAGCAAACAGG